CACCUCACACAGAAGCAGAAAGGGGGGUGGGGGGGUGACAGGAGUUCUGGUGCCUGAGGCGAUUUCCUUACACUGAGAAGAAUCGAUGCCACCUCUCAAGAAUGUUACAGUGAAUGGCACAAGGAACCCCCGGCAACCAGCAUAGAAGGCCACUUGCAAUCAAGUAGCCCAGGCUAGCUUCGAACUCACUGUGCUGCCAAGGAUGACCGAGAACUACCAAAGCUUCACCUAUGUUACUGCAAUACAGGCUUGCACAACCACCAUGUCGGGCACAACAACCAUGAAGUGUUGGCCGUGGAACCCAGGAGUUCAUGCAUGGUUCUUCAUCACUAAUUGCACUUGAUCUUCAUUGGGCCUAGGAGUUGGUUUUGAGGCGCCUGCUCUGUUUACCUUUUUGGGUUGUCUGGUCCAGCUUGAAGGUGUCUCCUCCAUUGGAAAGCCUCACUCCAUUUUGGAGGAGAGAAGCACAAUUCAUCCUUGCUCUCCACAUUUGAGCUAUAGGUUGCAGGGAUCGAACUCUGGUCCUCACGCUUGUGUAGCAUACACUUUACCUGCGCGAAGCCAGUCCUCUCCUUAGAGCAAGGGAGACCUGGAGUUGAAAGGUGGAGACCGAGAGACCAUUAUUCGAGCUUUGAGGGAACCCAGCCUAGAUUGCUUCUCUGAGCUGGAUGUCCGUGACCUCUACGUCGCAGGAUCCAGCCUCCAGCUCCUCAUCAGGAAGAGAAGAUCAACCAUAUCACCGACCUCCGAGUAGUGACUGAGGAAUUCGGUGCCAUAAGGCACACCAAGAAGUUGGCAUGCAGAUAUUUCC